AUUUGCUUCUACGGAGCUUUGACUGAUUUGGUAUCCCUCUACGUGUCUAUCUCUGGAAGCCCACAAAAAAUUUAGUCUCCUCUCUUUCUUCUGGUUCUGUCACGCUGAACCUCCCAUCGAAUUUCUCCGGCGAGCCGUCGUGAUCCACCCUCGGCGCGCCUACUCUGCUUCCUCCACUCCAUUUUGUUGCCCCUGCUCUUCCCUCACAAUGCUUGAACCCACCAUGCUUGAACACUCAAGCUCCACAACCCAUCAUGUGAGAUCCCCGCCACCGAGGGCUGUCGCCGCCGCGCGCCUGGGGGCUGCUGCUGCCGCCGUCGCGGCCCUGUGGCGGGGCACAGUCUACGUCGGGGCGAAUCACCGGAGAUUGGAAUUUUGAAGAUCAGGACGCGCUGUAGUAGGAGGUCGAGAUACCAGAUAGUCGGAGGCGGAGAUGGGAUGCAGUAUCCACCGCUCCAUUUCCAUUUGCGCCGCUUUCCACCAUCAACCUUAAGCUUUGAUGGCCCGAGAGGCCGCCGGGCCUAGCCCCUCCGCUCCUCCCUCUCCAUGCCGCCGACGGGCCGCGCUGAUUGGCGAAGCUUGGUUGGCAUCACGGGCCCUUCUCUCUGCCCCGCUUGGUGGUGGACGGCACGAGACGAGAGUGCUGUUGCGCUGGCGUACUGCGCGAUGGCGCGGCGGCUCGGUGGCGAGUGCUGGAGCAUGGUUGUCAGCUCUUGUGGUGGAGUGGUAGCCGUUGGUCAUCGACGUGGAUGUUUCGCGGAGGUGGCGACCGUGGCUGCUGCGGCGGCCGAUCUGGUUCCGCACAAAUCUUGAUUUCUCCCUUUGCGAGCCCUUGGUGGUUUACGCUGGAGGCUGGCGGUUGUGCGGGGAAUCCGAGUCAGAGAUGGCUGUGGUCGGCGCUUACCGGCGGCCGGCAUAGCCGGUUGACUGGGUGGCCCCCGUCGAGAUAUGAAGAGGCCAUAUAUGGAGAAUUGGAGAGUCCUGGGCUCAGCUGCAGGGGCGGGACGUCUCCUCCUCCUUACUCGGGAUCGGCUUUCCCCGCACGUGGCUUGGUGCGUGUCCACUGGGCAGCCAUGGCGGCGAUGCUUCUUGGCUUUGACCUCCCUAUAACCAUGCCUUGUGGUGAGAUCUGGAGGCUCAGCUGUUGUUUUGCCUUCGCCAUCCAUAGGCGUUUGUAGGCUGCUCUGCUUGAUGCGACGGUCGAUGGGAGUUCCUCUGGUUGUGGCUAGGUUGUAUCUCUCUCUGGUUUGCGUCCUUGCCUGAGGAAUUCGUUAGGUGAUGCUAUUGAUGGUCCGGCUUCCGCAGCCUGCAUUCCAGUUUUGCUUCUGUGGUAGCUCAACACUUUGAAAGCAUGUCCAGCAAUUCUGCAGUCCGUAUGAGCGCUCGCGGGCUGGGAUUCCUCUAGGCGAGUGACCGGACGAUUGUAUUGCCGCAUUGCAUGAAUCCUUGGCGUUGCUGAAAGCCACGACCCGGACGACGACCAGGGCGGUAUACAGUCUUUACGAACAAUUUGUAAAAAUUUAUUCAAUUUUUUUUUGACUUUCACUUUGUUUUGGUUGCAGCACGUUUCUGUACGAGUUCUAUAACUGGUUGACUACUUUGAGCGAUGGAGGCGAUGCACAUGGUGGCGCUUGAGAUCAGGUUGUAACUGAGGAGGUUGGAAGGAUCUAGCAGAAGCGUGGAUACAAAGACCAGUGGCCUUGGAACAUUAAGAUCUAUGCUGACGAUUCUGGAAGAAACAAAGGAGACGCUUGCCUAGCUUAUGAAGAUCCUUCUGCUGCUCAUGCGGCUGGUGGAUUCUACAACAAUUAUGACAUGAGAGGUCAUAAAAUUAGCGUUGUGAUGGCUGAAAAAUCGGCUCCCAGGGCUCCAACAUCUGGUCAUGGAGGUGGACGUGGUGGUGGUGACUAUGGAGGGGACCAACACAGAGACGGAGGAGGCCAUGGGCGUAACAACCAGGGUUGUGGUUCGUGUUCCUGGCCAUACUGGGAACACAUAUAAUUAAUUAAGAUUGUCUUUUGUGAGAAACCUUUUCUAUUUAUGUUCUUCAGACUUGUACCCACACAGGAACUUAAGGUAGGAGGUUUUUCUGCUUUCCCUGCACUUCUGUUCCAUUGUCAUACUCCAGUGUUGGUUGCCAAAAGUGAUCGGUCUAUGUUAUGUGAUUUUUUUCUUGGAGGCAGCUGGAUAAGCUCCAAAUGUUGGUAGGUUUUGAGAUAUUAUUACAGGUGAGUGCGGUCUAUUAUGAUAUAUUACUUUUCUCUC